UGAAAGCAACGCGUUAUGGGCAAGGUGGCGGGGAGUCAUUCGUUGCCUCCUACAGUCUCGCUCUCUCCCAUUGAUUAUCUUUGGCUCUCGGGUCUUGGAAGCGCGGAGCCUCUCUGGCCUUGAGCCCCGAGGGCAUGGCCCUGUGAUGUCACAAGGUGGCGUGACAGCCGGGACGAACCCCGACCCCCAGCGUGGCAUCCUUCCCGCGGCUAGCGACCACCGCCUCCCGGGAAGGUGGCUGACCACAGCCGCAAGCCGCUGCGCGCCCAGCAAGCCGAAUGGAACGACGGCGCGGGCAAACGAACGCCCAGCGAGAUGUGCGCGGUCCAGCAGUGUGAGCCGGUACUCACAGACUCGCAGGGCCCAUGAUCGCUUGAAAUGUGGCUAGUCCAAAUUGACAUGUGCUGUAAGGUAAAGCUCAGGGAUCUGGCCGGUCAGCAACUGAGUCUGAGUUCUUGCAUAGCUGUAGACUUAAUAACUACUGGUGACUUGCCAGAAUAAAGCCUUUGUCCACAGGAAUUACAGUUAAAAUCAUCCAAGAUACACUUUCUUUGGAAGAUAUAUUAGCAGUCUUCUAUUCUUAUUUAAAAAAUACCUGCUGGCACGACAUUCACCCCAUGCCUGACCUAAAUCUGAAAUGCGAUAAUGUCUGCGUUCUUUGUCCUUUUUGAUCUUCAGUAAAGACAGCUACUGACUUGAUAUCUAUAUUAAAAAGUUUAAGCCGGGCACGGUGGCCCACACCUGUAAUCCCAGCACUUUGGGAGGCAGAGGCGGGCGGAUCACGAGGUCAGGAGAUCAAGACCAUCCUGGCUAACACAGUGAAACCUCAUCUCUACUAAAAAUACAAAAAAUUAGCCCGGUGUGGUGGCAGGUGCCUGUAGUCCCAGCUACUCAGGAGGCUGAGGCAAGAGAAUGGCGUGAACCCGGGAGG